UACGAAGGGGGCUAGCGUUGCUCGGAAUCACUGGGCGUAAAGGGUGCGUAGGCGGGUCUUAAGUCAGGAGUGAAAUCCUGGAGCUCAACUCCAGAACUGCCUUUGAUACUGAGGAUCUUGAGUUCGGGAGAGGUGAGUGGAACUGCGAGUGUAGAGGUGAAAUUCGUAGAUAUUCGCAAGAACACCAGUGGCGAAGGCGGCUCACUGGCCCGAUACUGACGCUGAGGCACGAAAGCGUGGGGAGCAAACAGGG
rnacentral:rRNA from 1 species